rnacentral:piRNA from 1 species
UGCUAGAAGGAACGGACAACUCCAGCU